CGCGUAGGCGGCUUGUUAAGUCAGAUGUGAAAGCCCCGGGCUCAACCUGGGAAUUGCAUUUGAUACUGGCAGGCUAGAGUGUGGUAGAGGGAAGUGGAAUUCCGGGUGUAGCGGUGAAAUGCGUAGAUAUCCGGAGGAACACCAGUGGCGAAGGCGACUUCCUGGACCAACACUGACGCUGAGGUGCGAAAGCGUGGGGAGCAAACA
rnacentral:rRNA from 1 species